GUGCCAGCAGCCGCGGUAAUACCAGCUCCACAAGCGUAUAUUAAUGUUGUUGCAGUUAAAAAGCUCGUAGUUGGAUAUCUGUCAUGACGGACCUGGCCCAAACAUCUCUGAUGAGUUGCUGUGUGCCGGUUCUGGUGUCCGGUUGUCGCGCUCGUUGUCGGGUUGGCUCGGUUUCUGACUGGGUCGAUCGGGCGAGUUGUGCUCCCGUGUACGCUUGUUCGUCGGACAUCCUUCAGGAGAACCGCUCUGCCAUUUACUUGGUUGGGGCGAGGAUCCUGAUCGUUUACUUUGAAAAAAUUAGAGUGUUUAACGCAGGCUUCAUUGUCGCGAAUAGAUUAGCAUGGAAUAAUAAGAUAGGACUUCGGCACCGCUGGUGACUGCCUUUCGYGGCGUGGCCUUGUUGUCGCGUCUGCGAAUUGGACUAAACAGCUGCUGGUUUUCUAUUUUGUUGGUUUCUAGAGCUGAAGUAAUGAUUGAUAGGGAUAGUUGGGGGUGCUCGUAUUGCGGGGCCAGAGGUGAAAUUCUCGGAUUCUCGUAAGACGAACUUCUGCGAAAGCAUUCACCAAGGAUGUCUUCUUUAAUCAAGAACGAAAGUUUGGGGGAUCGAAGACGAUCAGAUACCGUCGUAGUCUCAACCAUAAACUAUACCGACUCGGGAUUUUGGGCGUCGUUGUACAAAUUUGGAUCGUUUCGCUCAGCACCGGUUAUUUUGAGAAAUCACAAGUCUUUGGGUUUCUGGGGGGAGUAUGGUCGCAAGGCUGAAACUUAAAGGAAUUGACGGAAGGGCACCACCAGGCGUGGAGCCUGCGGCUUAAUUUGACUCAACACGGGAAAACUUACCAGGUCCAGACAUAGUGAGGAUUGACAGAUUGAAG
rnacentral:rRNA from 1 species